rnacentral:rRNA from 1 species
GGGUUGUGAGGUUAAGCGACUAAGCGUACACGGUGGAUGCCCUGGCAGUCAGAGGCGAUGAAGGACGUGCUAAUCUGCGAUAAGCGUCGGUAAGGUGAUAUGAACCGUUAUAACCGGCGAUUUCCGAAUGGGGAAACCCAGUGUGAUUCGUCACACUAUCAUUAACUGAAUCCAUAGGUUAAUGAGGCGAACCGGGGGAACUGAAACAUCUAAGUACCCCGAGGAAAAGAAAUCAACCGAGAUUCCCCCAGUAGCGGCGAGCGAACGGGGAGGAGCCCAGAGCCUGAAUCAGUGUGUGUGUUAGUGGAAGCGUCUGGAAAGGCGCGCGAUACAGGGUGACAGCCCCGUACACAAAAAUGCACAUACUGUGAGCUCGAUGAGUAGGGCGGGACACGUGGUAUCCUGUCUGAAUAUGGGGGGACCAUCCUCCAAGGCUAAAUACUCCUGACUGACCGAUAGUGAACCAGUACCGUGAGGGAAAGGCGAAAAGAACCCCGGCGAGGGGAGUGAAAAAGAACCUGAAACCGUGUACGUACAAGCAGUGGGAGCACGCUUCGGCGUGUGACUGCGUACCUUUUGUAUAAUGGGUCAGCGACUUAUAUUCUGUAGCAAGGUUAACCGAAUAGGGGAGCCGAAGGGAAACCGAGUCUUAACUGGGCGUUAAGUUGCAGGGUAUAGACCCGAAACCCGGUGAUCUAGCCAUGGGCAGGUUGAAGGUUGGGUAACACUAACUGGAGGACCGAACCGACUAAUGUUGAAAAAUUAGCGGAUGACUUGUGGCUGGGGGUGAAAGGCCAAUCAAACCGGGAGAUAGCUGGUUCUCCCCGAAAGCUAUUUAGGUAGCGCCUCGUGAAUUCAUCUCCGGGGGUAGAGCACUGUUUCGGCAAGGGGGUCAUCCCGACUUACCAACCCGAUGCAAACUGCGAAUACCGGAGAAUGUUAUUACGGGAGACACACGGCGGGUGCUAACGUCCGUCGUGAAGAGGGAAACAACCCAGACCGCCAGCUAAGGUCCCAAAGUCAUGGUUAAGUGGGAAACGAUGUGGGAAGGCCCAGACAGCCAGGAUGUUGGCUUAGAAGCAGCCAUCAUUUAAAGAAAGCGUAAUAGCUCACUGGUCGAGUCGGCCUGCGCGGAAGAUGUAACGGGGCUAAACCAUGCACCGAAGCUGCGGCAGCGACACUAUGUGUUGUUGGGUAGGGGAGCGUUCUGUAAGCCUGUGAAGGUGUGCUGUGAGGCAUGCUGGAGGUAUCAGAAGUGCGAAUGCUGACAUAAGUAACGAUAAAGCGGGUGAAAAGCCCGCUCGCCGGAAGACCAAGGGUUCCUGUCCAACGUUAAUCGGGGCAGGGUGAGUCGACCCCUAAGGCGAGGCCGAAAGGCGUAGUCGAUGGGAAACAGGUUAAUAUUCCUGUACUUGGUGUUACUGCGAAGGGGGGACGGAGAAGGCUAUGUUGGCCGGGCGACGGUUGUCCCGGUUUAAGCGUGUAGGCUGAUUUUCCAGGCAAAUCCGGAAAAUCAAGGCUGAGGCGUGAUGACGAGGCACUACGGUGCUGAAGCAACAAAUGCCCUGCUUCCAGGAAAAGCCUCUAAGCAUCAGGUAACAUCAAAUCGUACCCCAAACCGACACAGGUGGUCAGGUAGAGAAUACCAAGGCGCUUGAGAGAACUCGGGUGAAGGAACUAGGCAAAAUGGUGCCGUAACUUCGGGAGAAGGCACGCUGAUAUGUAGGUGAAGCGACUUGCUCGUGGAGCUGAAAUCAGUCGAAGAUACCAGCUGGCUGCAACUGUUUAUUAAAAACACAGCACUGUGCAAACACGAAAGUGGACGUAUACGGUGUGACGCCUGCCCGGUGCCGGAAGGUUAAUUGAUGGGGUUAGCGGUAACGCGAAGCUCUUGAUCGAAGCCCCGGUAAACGGCGGCCGUAACUAUAACGGUCCUAAGGUAGCGAAAUUCCUUGUCGGGUAAGUUCCGACCUGCACGAAUGGCGUAAUGAUGGCCAGGCUGUCUCCACCCGAGACUCAGUGAAAUUGAACUCGCUGUGAAGAUGCAGUGUACCCGCGGCAAGACGGAAAGACCCCGUGAACCUUUACUAUAGCUUGACACUGAACAUUGAGCCUUGAUGUGUAGGAUAGGUGGGAGGCUUUGAAGUGUGGACGCCAGUCUGCAUGGAGCCGACCUUGAAAUACCACCCUUUAAUGUUUGAUGUUCUAACGUUGGCCCCUGAUCGGGGUUGCGGACAGUGUCUGGUGGGUAGUUUGACUGGGGCGGUCUCCUCCUAAAGAGUAACGGAGGAGCACGAAGGUUGGCUAAUCCUGGUCGGACAUCAGGAGGUUAGUGCAAUGGCAUAAGCCAGCUUGACUGCGAGCGUGACGGCGCGAGCAGGUGCGAAAGCAGGUCAUAGUGAUCCGGUGGUUCUGAAUGGAAGGGCCAUCGCUCAACGGAUAAAAGGUACUCCGGGGAUAACAGGCUGAUACCGCCCAAGAGUUCAUAUCGACGGCGGUGUUUGGCACCUCGAUGUCGGCUCAUCACAUCCUGGGGCUGAAGUAGGUCCCAAGGGUAUGGCUGUUCGCCAUUUAAAGUGGUACGCGAGCUGGGUUUAGAACGUCGUGAGACAGUUCGGUCCCUAUCUGCCGUGGGCGCUGGAGAACUGAGGGGGGCUGCUCCUAGUACGAGAGGACCGGAGUGGACGCAUCACUGGUGUUCGGGUUGUCAUGCCAAUGGCACUGCCCGGUAGCUAAAUGCGGAAGAGAUAAGUGCUGAAAGCAUCUAAGCACGAAACUUGCCCCGAGAUGAGUUCUCCCUGACUCCUUGAGAGUCCUGAAGGAACGUUGAAGACGACGACGUUGAUAGGCCGGGUGUGUAAGCGCAGCGAUGCGUUGAGCUAACCGGUACUAAUGAACCGUGAGGCUUAACCUUACAACGCCGAAG